rnacentral:rRNA from 1 species
GACGAACCGUGCAAACGUUGUUCGGAAUCACUGGGCUUAAAGGGCGCGUAGGCGGCUUGCCAAGUCGGGGGUGAAAUACUUCAGCUUAACUGGAGAAGUGCCUUCGAUACUGGCGAGCUCGAGGGAGGUAGGGGUAUGUGGAACUUCUGGUGGAGCGGUGAAAUUCGUAGAUAUCGAGAGGAACACCGGUGGCGAAGGCGGCUUCCUGGACAGUGACUGACGCUGAGACGCGAAAGCGUGGGGAGCGAACAGG